rnacentral:tRNA from 1 species
GGGCCGUUAGCUCAAUUGGUAGAGCAGGGGACUCUUAAUCCCAAGGUUAUAGGUUCGAGUCCUAUACGGCCCACCA